AUUGAACGCUGGCGGCAUGCCUAACACAUGCAAGUCGAACGGUAACAGGCCCUUCGGGCGCUGACGAGUGGCGGACGGGUGAGUAAUGCUUAGGAAUCUGCCUAGUAGUGGGGGAUAACCCGGGGAAACUCGGGCUAAUACCGCAUACGUCCUACGGGAGAAAGCGGGGGACCUUCGGGCCUCGCGCUAUUAGAUGAGCCUAAGUCCGAUUAGCUAGUUGGUAGGGUAACGGCCUACCAAGGCGACGAUCGGUAGCUGGUCUGAGAGGACGACCAGCCACACUGGGACUGAGACACGGCCCAGACUCCUACGGGAGGCAGCAGUGGGGAAUAUUGGACAAUGGGCGCAAGCCUGAUCCAGCGAUGCCGCGUGUGUGAAGAAGGCCUGC
rnacentral:rRNA from 1 species